AAGUCGUAACAAGGUUUCCGUAGGUGAACCUGCGGAAGGAUCAUUAAUGAGUUAGGGUCUCCGGGCCCGACCUCCAACCCUUUGUUGUCACAAAACCAAUUGUUGCUUUGGCGUUGGACCGCCCGGCGACGGGCCUGCCGGGCUCCUUGAGGCCCGGCAUUGGCCGGCCCAGCCAGGACGGCAAAACCGAAAACCAUCUUGUUCAUCAAACCAGCUACGUCUGAGUAAAAAUGAUUAAAUCAAUCAAAA
rnacentral:misc_RNA from 1 species